rnacentral:lncRNA from 1 species
UUUUAUACGCAUUUUAGAUAAAUAAUAUUUUCACUAAGUUUGAACAUAAUUGUUAUAAAAUAUUCAUCACGUGUGCCUCAAUAGCGAGUAUAUUUUAAGAAAGAGACGCAUUCGUAUUAAAUCUUUACACCACUUAUCUCUACCAGUUUUUUUCAUAAACUUUCUCUACAAUAUUACUAAUUACAAGGGUGGUUUUUUCCAAAAAAAAAU